CNCGNAGGAAGGGGCAUACCUCACUGGGAAACACUGCUUUCAAGCAGGGGGUCGUCGGUUCGAUCCCGUCUGCCUCCACCAAUCUUCAAUGACAAACGUUCAGGGAUGCUGAGCAGUUGUCAUUGGCGAUUGAGCCAGUCAGAGGAUGAGCGAGAAGUAGCGCUUAUCGGCUGUCGUUCUUUAACAAUCUGGAAGAAGUAGUAAAGUGGAUAGCGGAAGCGCUUAUUUGAGAUGGGCGUGGAAGUUAUCCGGGUUGUGAUUGUAUCGAUGUAUCUCAAGAUGAUUCGAACGCAAGUUCGGCUCAAUUGGAAUACGGCACAAAUGCGAGAACUCAACCUGUAGCGGCUGUCAUCUCUUCGGGGAAGAAA
rnacentral:misc_RNA from 1 species